rnacentral:rRNA from 1 species
GAUGAACGCUGGCGGCGUGCCUAAUACAUGCAAGUCGAGCGAACGGACGAGAAGCUUGCUUCUCUGAUGUUAGCGGCGGACGGGUGAGUAACACGUGGAUAACCUACCUAUAAGACUGGGAUAACUUCGUGAAACCGGAGCUAAUACCGGAUAAUAUUUUGAACCGCAUGGUUCAAAAGUGAAAGACGGUCUUGCUUUCACUUAUAGAUGGAUCCGCGCUGCAUUAGCUAGUUGGUAAGGUAACGGCUUACCAAGGCAACGAUGCAUAGCCGACCUGAGAGGGUGAUCGGCCACACUGGAACUGAGACACGGUCCAGACUCCUACGGGAGGCAGAAGUAGGGAAUCUUCCGCAAUGGGCGAAAGCCUGACGGAGAAACGCCGCGUGAGUGAUGAAGGUCUUCGGAUCGUAAAACUCGGUUAUUAGGGAAGAACAUAUGUGUAAGUAACUGUGCACAGCUUGACGGUACCUAAUCAGAAAGCCACGGCUAACUACGUG